GACGAACGCUGGCGGCGUGCUUAACACAUGCAAGUCGAACGAAGUGGCGAACGGGUGAAUAACGCGUAAACAACCUGCCCUUCAGAGGGGGACACCAGUUGGAAACGACUGCUAAUAGCGAAUACUGAAGGAUGGGAUUGCGUCUGAUUCGCUAGUUGGAGGGGUAACGGCCCACCAAGGCGAUGAUCAGUAGCCGGUCUGAGAGGAUGAACGGCCACAUUGGGACUGAGACACGGCCCAGACUCCUACGGGAGGGAGCAGUGGGGAGUCUUCCGCAAUGGACGAAAGUCUGACGGAGCAACGCCGCGUGAGGGAUGACGGCCUUCGGGUUGUAAAGCUCUGUUAAUCGGGACGCGGUACCGGAAUAGAAAGCCACGGCUAACUACGUGCCAGCCGCCGCGGUAAUUC
rnacentral:rRNA from 1 species